rnacentral:rRNA from 1 species
AGUGAACGCUGGCGGUAGGCCUAACACAUGCAAGUCGAACGGCAGCACAGUAAGAGCUUGCUCUUACGGGUGGCGAGUGGCGGACGGGUGGGGAAUACAUCGGAAUCUACUUUUUCGUGGGGGAUAACGUAGGGAAACUUACGCUAAUACCGCAUACGACCUACGGGUGAAAGCAGGGGAUCUUCGGACCUUGCGCGAUUGAAUGAGCCGAUGUCGGAUUAGCUAGUUGGCGGGGUAAAGGCCCACCAAGGCGACGAUCCGUAGCUGGUCUGAGAGGAUGAUCAGCCACACUGGAACUGAGACACGGUCCAGACUCCUACGGGAGGCAGCAGUGGGGAAUAUUGGACAAUGGGCGCAAGCCUGAUCCAGCCAUACCGCGUGGGUGAAGAAGGCCUUCGGGUUGUAAAGCCCUUUUGUUGGGAAAGAAAAGCAGCAGGUUAAUACCCCGCUGUCCUGACGGUACCCAAAGAAUAAGCACCGGCUAACUUCGUG